AACUGCAUGAGGUGCCUGUUCAAAUACUUCACCUUUAGCAGGUUCAGUGCUUAUCAAAGCUCACAGAAGAGACGUAAGUGCCAGGACAGAACCAGCUCAGCCACAGGGCAAGAUGCGGGGCAGGUCCAGGGAGUCCCUGGAGCCAGGGCCACCGGGUUUCACUCCUGCCAAGGAUGAAAGAGCUCUGGCAGCCAGACACCCAUAAAGGGGGACAUCACCUGGGCUGAUGAAAUGAUUCAAGACAGCUGAUGGAAACACCUACAGCUCAACAAGACCAAACAGAAUAUAAAAAUAGCUGAGAACAUCUGGACGACCAGCAUGUGGGGCUCUGAAACUAGGAACAAUCUCCAUGUGGCCUUGGGAGGCCCAGGAAAUGCUGUCAAAUAUGAAACCCAGCAAAAGCUCCAGAGGAUCAACAGGGAAGGUAGUCGUCCAGUCCUCUGAUUCUGGCUGCUGCGGAGAGUCCCAGGUAGGACCCCGUGGCAGACAGAGGUGUACAAGUGCUCUGGAGAACCCCGCCUGCCCUCCAGGCUGCCCCUGUCUGUGGCCAUCACCGGUGCUGUGUCCCCACCCCCAGUCCCUGCACCUCCCUGGCACUGCCAUGAACCAUCAUCCAGGCCAGGCAGGGCAGCAGGCAGGGGCAGGACCCCAGCCAGGUCUCAGCCCUGUGCACCUGGAACCUGGUCUUCCCUCCAUGAGGGACGACGAAACCAGAGGGGUAUAGCCACACGGGGCCAUUUGUGCCUUCAGAAGCUUGUGCCACGGUGGGGACAAUGGAUGGAUAGAGACUAGGAGGUCAGAGUAGGUUGCCAUCGAGCCAGGAGGGACAAGGUGUGGCGGGCAGUGGACCACACAGGGGAGACGCAGGAGUCAGCACACUCUCUUUCUUGGGAUUCUGAGUUCUGCAGGUCCACUACACUGGGGAGACAAUUUCCUGAGGUUACCCGUGAUUCAAGAAGCCCAAGAGUGUCAUCACUAGAAGUGUCCCUGAAACACCUAUGCCCAAAAGAUAAGGCUACCUGGGGCCGUGGGAUGGGGUGUGAGGUUCUGGGGCCAUGGGGCUCUGGUGGCCUGGCGAGCCCGCCCUCCCACACAGCCUGGCGUCAAGGGCUGCAUCUGCACUCUCCCAGGCCCCCGAACUUCACGAGCCCAAAGUGACUGCCUGGGGAGGUUUGCAGGGGAGAAAGCCAAGCCCAGCAUGUGCUGCCCUGUCCGCUCUGCCAGGUCCCUGGAGCGCCCAGAGGCACGUUGUCCCUGAGAGCACGCGGGUUUAGUAGCCCUGAGGGCAGCGGGCGACUUAGAGGCUCUCCUGCACCUGACUUGCUGGGACUGGGAAGGAUUUGUGAUUCCAGAGCCCCUGGAUGGCCAGAGGGUCAGCUGUGAGGAUUUCAGUGUCCUCUGUGAGCUUGGGGGAGGUUCUGUGCAGCCCAGGGGACAGGUGCCUUGGAGGUGUUGUGUGCAAAACUGACACAGACCCUCGUGAUGGGCCUUUAGUGUGUGCAGGCAGCGGUGUAGCACAGCAGGCCACACCCAGUGGCUUUGGCAGCAGUUUGUCACCAUAUCUCAUGACAGUGAGGAGGGGAUUUCAGAGAGCAGGGCAAGAGCACCACCAGCUUGUCCCGGCCAGGCGGGAGCAGCUGGGUACGAGGCGUCCUUCUCCCCGCACACCUUCCAGCUCUGGGCUGAGGCUCCCUGCUGCCACCUCAUCCCUCGGGGUGAGAAGCUGGGCAGGCUCAGGCAUGCGCUCUGUUUCCAGAUGGGAAGUAGGAGCACUGCGUCCUGAGGCUGGGGCCCGAGAAGGGCCCAGCAUCACUUCCUCCAGUUUCUAUUGGUGAAACAGCCCCAGAGUCCACCCAGGUCCCAAAGGAACAGAUGUGGGCCCACCUCCCAGCCGGAGGAGGGUUGGAGGUGGGGCUGUGACUAUGAUAAAAGACCCACUGACCAACUUAUCAGAAGGAAAGUUCCUGAAUGAAGACACGAGUGGUGUGAAUACGCCUGCUGUACACCAGAGACGUGAAAAAUCAUGCUCUGUGUGGGUGAUGAGAAUUGUGACAUAUUCCGCUGUCACACAUAACAGAUUAGAAUUAAAAAAAAAUUCUGCAGAGU